rfam:Picea glauca, whole genome shotgun sequence.
GUGGAGAUAGCCAAGUGGAGCAAGGCAAUGGAUUGUGAAUCCACCAUGCAUGGGUUCAAUCUCUGUCAUUCACCCAU